rnacentral:tRNA from 1 species
GGCCUGAUGGUCUAGUAGUAUGAUACCUUGUUAGGGUCGAGGUGGUCCCGGGUUCAAUUCCCGGUCAGGCCC